CGUAGGCACCAAGCGUUGUCCGGAUUUAUUGGGCGUAAAGAGCUCGUAGGCGGUUCGGUAAGUCAGGUGUGAAAACUUUGGGCUCAACCCAAAGCCUGCAUCUGAUACUGCUGUGACUAGAGUUCGGUAGGGGAGCGGGGAAUUCCUAGUGUAGCGGUGAAAUGCGCAGAUAUUAGGAGGAACACCGGUGGCGAAGGCGCCGCUCUGGGCCGAUACUGACGCUGAGGAGCGAAAGCGUGGGUAGCAAACAGGAUUAGAUACCCUGGUAGUCCACGCCGUAAACGUUGGGCACUAGGUGUGGGUUUCAACCAACGAAAUCCGCGCCGUCGCUAACGCAUUAAGUGCCCCGCCUGGGGAGUACGGCCGCAAGGCUA
rnacentral:rRNA from 1 species